CAGAGGAGCCAAGCGUUGUCCGGAUUGACUGGGCGUAAAGCGCACGCAGGCGGAGGCGCGCGUGGGGUGUGAAAUCUGGCCGCUUAACGGCCAGGCGCCAUCCCAUACGGCGCAUCUGGAGCCGUGCAGAGGUCGGUGGAAUUGCCGGUGUAGUGGUGAAAUGCGUAGAGAUCGGCAGGAACACCCAGGGGGAAACCAGCCGACUGGGCACGUGCUGACGCUCAUGUGCGAGAGCGUGGGGAGCGAACCGGAUUAGAUACCCGGGUAGUCCACGCCGUAAACGAUGGCCACUCGGCCUUUGGGGGCGGAUACUCCGUUCUUGGGGGCCUUAGCAAACGCGGGAAGUGGCCCGCCUGGGAACUACGAGCGCAAGCUUA
rnacentral:rRNA from 1 species